UGCCAGCCGCCGCGGUAAUACGGAGGGGGCUAGCGUUGUUCGGAAUUACUGGGCGUAAAGCGCGCGUAGGCGGCUAUUUAAGUCAGAUGUGAAAACCCCGGGCUCAACCUGGGAUGGUCAUUUAGAACUGGCAGACUAGAGUCUUGGAGAGGGGAGUGGAAUUCCAGGUGUAGCGGUGAAAUGCGUAGAUAUCUGGAGGAACAUCAGUGGCGAAGGCGGCUCCCUGGCCAAAGACUGACGCUGAGGUGCGAAAGCUAGGGUAGCGAACGGGAUUAGAUA
rnacentral:rRNA from 1 species